rnacentral:rRNA from 1 species
ACGACCAUACCCAUUGGAGAACUCGGGAUCCCGUCCGCUCUCCCAUAGAUAAGCCAGUGAGGGCCGGAUUAGUAGUUGGGUCGGUGACGACCAGCGAAUACCUGGUGUUGUAUGUU